rnacentral:rRNA from 1 species
UACGGAGGGAGCUAGCGUUGUUCGGAAUUACUGGGCGUAAAGCGCGCGUAGGCGGCUUUGUAAGUUAGAGGUGAAAGCCCAGAGCUCAACUCUGGAAUUGCCUUUUAGACUGCAUCGCUUGAAUCAUGGAGAGGUCAGUGGAAUUCCGAGUGUAGAGGUGAAAUUCGUAGAUAUUCGGAAGAACACCAGUGGCGAAGGCGGCUGACUGGACAUGUAUUGACGCUGAGGUGCGAAAGCGUGGGGAGCAAACAGG